rnacentral:rRNA from 1 species
GACGAACGCUGGCGGCGUGCUUAACACAUGCAAGUCGAACGGUGAAGGCGGAGCUUGCUCUGCUGGAUGAGUGGCGAACGGGUGAGUAACACGUGAGUAACCUGCCCGUGACUGUGGGAUAACUGCUGGAAACGGGGGCUAAUACCGGAUAAGAGCUGCGGAUGCAUGUUGAGCAGUUGAAAGGUGCGUCGGUCAGGGAUGAACUCGCGGCUUAUCAGCUUGUUGGUGAGGUAGUGGCUCACCAAGGCGUCGACGGGUAGCCGGCCUGAGAGGGUGACCGGCCCCAGUGGGACUGAGACACGGCCCAGACUCCUACGGGAGGCAGCAGUGGGGAAUAUUGCACAAUGGGCGGAAGCCUGAUGCAGCAACGCCGCGUGCGGGAUGACGGCCUUCGGGUUGUAAACCGCUUUCGCCUGGGAAGAAGCGAGAGUGACGGUACCUGAUCAAAAAGCGCCGGCUAACUACGUG